GAUGAACGCUGGCGGCGUGCCUAAUACAUGCAAGUAGAACGCUGAAGGAAGGAGCUUGCUCUUUCCGGAUGAGUUGCGAACGGGUGAGUAACGCGUAGGUAACCUACCUGGUAGCGGGGGAUAACUAUUGGAAACGAUAGCUAAUACCGCAUAACAGUAGAUGUUGCAUGAUAUCUACUUAAAAAGUGCAAUUGCACCACUACCAGAUGGACCUGCGUUGUAUUAGCUAGUUGGUGAGGUAACGGCUCACCAAGGCGACGAUACAUAGCCGACCUGAGAGGGUGAUCGGCCACACUGGGACUGAGACACGGCCCAGACUCCUACGGGAGGCAGCAGUAGGGAAUCUUCGGCAAUGGACGGAAGUCUGACCGAGCAACGCCGCGUGAGUGAAGAAGGUUGUCGGAUCGUAAAGCUCUGUUGUAAGAGAAGAACGAGUGUGAGAGUGGAAAGUUCACACUGUGACGGUAUCUUACCAGAAAGGGACGGCUAACUACGUG
rnacentral:rRNA from 1 species